rnacentral:rRNA from 1 species
CAAUAGCGUAUAUUAAAGUUGUUGCAGUUAAAAAGCUCGUAGUUGGAUUUCUGGCCGAGUGUCCCUAGGCCAGCAUGACGUUUGGUCCUAGGCGCUCUGCCAUCCUUCUGUCAACCUUCGCCUUCUUCAUUGGGGGCGCUGGGGCUCAGAUAUUUUACCUUGAGAAAAUUAGAGUGUUUCAGGCAGGCUUUCGCCGGAAUACAUUAGCAUGGAAUAAUGGAAAAGGAACUUCAACCUACUUCUUGUUGGUUCUGAGAGGCUGUAGUAAUGAUUAAUAGGAUAGUUGGGGGCGAUUAGUACUUAACUAGUCAGAGGUGAAAUUACUCCGA